ACGAACGCUGGCGGCGUGCUUAACACCUGCCAGUCGCACGGAAAGGCCCUGCUUGCAGGGUACUCGAGUGGCGAACGGGUGAGUAACACGUGGGUGAUCUGCCCUGCACUUCGGGAUAAGCCUGGGAAACUGGGUCUAAUACCGGAUAGGAGCCAUUUUUAGUGUGAUGGUUGGAAAGUUUUUUCGGUGUAGGAUGAGCUCGCGGCCUAUCAGCUUGUUGGUGGGGUAAUGGCCUACCAAGGCGGCGACGGGUAGCCGGCCUGAGAGGGUGGACGGCCACAGUGGGACUGAGAUACGGCCCAGACUCCUACGGGAGGCAGCAGUGGGGAAUAUUGCACAAUGGGCGCAAGCCUGAUGCAGCGACGCCGCGUGGGGGAUGACGGCCUUCGGGUUGUAAACUCCUUUCGCUAGGGACGAAGCUUUUUGUGACGGUACCUAGAUAAGAAGCACCGGCUAACUACGUG
rnacentral:rRNA from 1 species